AAAACAUUUGGCGCAGGCGCGGCACUGACAGCUGCUGUCUACUUACUCCGCAAAGUCUGUCUAAUAAUGGCCUGGAAAUCUGGAGGAGCCAGUCACGCAGAGCUUGUCAACAACCUCCGCAAAAAUGGUAUUAUUAAGUCCGACAAGGUCUACGAAGUCAUGCUGGCCACAGACCGAGCACACUUCUCUAGGUGUAACCCUUACAUGGACUCUCCGCAGUCAAUAGGAUACCAAGCAACCAUCAGCGCCCCACACAUGCACGCCUACGCCCUGGAGCUUCUACAUGACCAGCUGUAUGAUGGAGCCAAAGCCCUGGACGUGGGCUCCGGCAGUGGAAUCCUGUCCGCUUGCUUCGCACGAAUGGUAGGUCCUAAAGGGAAAGUUAUAGGAAUCGAUCACAUCAAAGAGCUGGUAGACGAUUCUAUUACUAAUGUGAAGAAAGACGACCCCAGUUUGAUAACAUCGGGCCGAGUCACACUAACAGUGGGAGACGGGCGACUGGGUUACACGGAGGAGGCGCCUUAUGAUGCCAUCCAUGUCGGUGCAGCGGCACCCACUGUCCCCACAGCUCUUCUGGACCAGCUGAAACCCGGCGGUCGGCUGAUCCUGCCCGUGGGCCCGGCGGGGGGGAACCAGAUGCUGGAGCAGUACGACAAGAUGGAGGACGGCAGCACCAAAAUGAAGCCCUUGAUGGGGGUGAUUUAUGUGCCUUUAACAGACAGAGACAAGCAGUGGUCCAGGUGGAAGUGACUUCCUUCUCCCUCUCCUCCUCCCCCCUCUCUCCUUCUCACAGUGGCAAAGGGAUGAACUUUGAAGAGGAAGACGGUCCAUAAAUCCACCUUUAAGUUUGAACCUGGAGAAAACUGGGACGGGGUCAAACAAGCCCAUGACAUUUUUUUGUUCAAAGCAUAACAAGACAUGCUUUUUUUUUUUUUUCUCUUUUUUUUUUUUGGUUUAACGACGGACUAGAGUAUCACAUUGAUGACAGCCCAGAAGGGUUUGGGAUGAAAAGACUGCUUGAAGCUCAGCGCAGAAAUUGAGAGAUUGGAGAAGGCUUCUUUUGUGGUUGUUGUUUUCAGGCCUGCAUCCUUUUUGGUUGUGUUUUCUUUUUAACUGCUGGAUUUUUUUUUUUUUUUUUUUUUUUUGUGGUUUCAUUUCAUUCAUUUGAAUUGCAAUCAGCCAUUUUUACAGUAUUACAUUUCAGCAGCAUCAAAGCUGAAUGUAGGAGGAACGCUGGACUACAAAUGAGGAAAGCCUGAGCCUUUUAGAAAAAACACAUAGCUACAGUUUGUGUGUGUGUGUGUGGAUCAUCUAACUGUAGACUUCUAUGCUAACAUAUGAGCUCCCCCCCCCUCCCAACCCAAACAACCAACCACCCACCCCGCCUGCCUGCCAGCAGUAGUAGGAACACACUUAACAGGCAACAUGACGGCUAAUGUACAGCACUCUUAGUUCAUUCUACACAUAGAAUAAGCAGUGCAUUGAAUCAUACUGGCAAUGCGUACACUCCAAAGAGAGCAUAGCACUAAUAACACCAACACUCGUGCACAUACAGAGCCGUAAACCCCCCUCCCCUUGCCUUCCCUUCCCCUCGGUGAUGUGUUGCUUUCCGCAGCUGGUUUUUUUUCCAUUAACAAUAUGUGCAGGCUCUUCUGGUGACUGACACUAAAUGGGAUGGUCACUGCUUUGCCAAAAUAAAACUACAACAGUAUAAAGCAAAAUGAAUGUCUGUUUUUUUCCUCAAAUUAAAAAAAAAAAAGCACAUUUAAUUUUUUGGAUGAUCUAAGCGAUGGAUGAUUAUUUGGCUUUCACACUUUCUGGAAUGGCAUAUGAAAAUAAAGAGAUGCUUAUGUUUUUG